rnacentral:rRNA from 1 species
UAGGGAAUCUUCCACAAUGGACGAAAGUCUGAUGGAGCAACGCCGCGUGAGUGAUGAAGGGUUUCGGCUCGUAAAACUCUGUUGUUGGAGAAGAACGGGUGUCAGAGUAACUGUUGACAUCGUGACGGUAUCCAACCAGAAAGCCACGGCUAACUACGUGCCAGCAGCCGCGGUAAUACGUAGGUGGCAAGCGUUGUCCGGAUUUAUUGGGCGUAAAGCGAGCGCAGGCGGUUUUUUAGGUCUGAUGUGAAAGCCUUCGGCUUAACCGGAGAAGUGCAUCGGAAACCGGGAGACUUGAGUGCAGAAGAGGACAGUGGAACUCCAUGUGUAGCGGUGAAAUGCGUAGAUAUAUGGAAGAACACCAGUGGCGAAGGCGGCUGUCUGGUCUGCAACUGACGCUGAGGCUCGAAAGCAUGGGUAGCGAACAGGAUUAGAUACCCUGGUAGUCCAUGCCGUAAACGAUGAGUGCUAAGUGUUGGAGGGUUUUCCGCCCUUCAGUGCUGCAGUUAACGCAUUAAGCACUCCGCC